ACAGUCUGCAAGAGUACGGUGUCACGCAUGGGUCCGUGAUUGAGAUGAGGAUGAGAAAGGGUGAAAAAGAUAGGAAAGAGAAGAUGCUUGCAUCGGAAGAUUACACUCAUGUAUCCAACGACAGAAAAGGGAAAAAGUCAUUGCUGGGUUCCAUAAUGGACAGGUUUCGCGGCAGGCGAAGUAAGUAAACAGAAACCUUUUGAUCCACGUUUAAUUUACCGUAAACGUCUAACUGCGAUUUGACGUUAGACCUUCGCCGUUCGC